rnacentral:rRNA from 1 species
CCUACGGGUGGCAGCAGUGAGGAAUAUUGGUCAAUGGCCGGAAGGCUGAACCAGCCAAGCCGCGUGAGGGAGGAAGGCGCAGAGCGUCGCAGACCUCUUUUGCCGGGGGACAAAAGGCCGGACUCGUCCGGUACUGAGGGUACCCGGAGAAAAAGCAUCGGCUAAUUCCGUGCCAGCAGCCGCGGAAAUACGGGGGAUGCGAGCGUUAUCCGGAUUCAUGGGGUUUAAGGGGGGCGCAGGCGGGCCUUUAGGCCGGCGGGGAAAUCGCGGGGCUCAACCCCGCCGAGCCGUCGGAACUGGGGGCCUUGAGUGCGGCGGAGGCAUGCGGAAUGCGCGGUGUAGCGGUGAAAUGCAUAGAUAUCGCGCAGAACCCCGAUUGCGAAGGCAGCGUGCCGUGCCGCCACUGACGCUGAGGCACGAAAGCGCGGGGAGCGAACAGGAUUAGAUACCCGGGUAGUC